CCUACGGGAGGCAGCAGUGGGGAAUAUUGCACAAUGGGGGAAACCCUGAAGCAGCGACGCCGCGUGAGGGAUGAAGUAUUUCGGUAUGUAAAGCCCUAUCAGUAGGGAAGAAAAUGACGGUACCUGACUAAGAAGCCCCGGCUAACUACGUGCCAGCAGCCGCGGUAAUACGUAGGGGGCAAGCGUUAUCCGGAUUUACUGGGCGUAAAGGGAGCGUAGACGGCGGUGCAAGCCAGAUGUGAAAGCCCGGGGCUAAACCCCGGGACUGCAUUUGGAACUGUGCUGCUGGAGUGUCGGAGAGGCAGGCGGAAUUCCUGGUGUAGCGGUGAAAUGCGUAGAGAUUAAGAGGAACACCAGUGGCGAAGGCGGCCUACUGGACGAUGACUGACGUUGAGGCUCGAAAGCGUGGGGAGCAAACAGGAUUAGAUACCCGUGUAGUC
rnacentral:rRNA from 1 species